CGGAUUCGGCAAAAAUUCGGUACGGAUAUAAUACGCACAAAAUUCAUUUUUUAAUUUUUAAAUUCGUUGAAAAAUUCGGCUUAAAAAACGGAUUCGGUAUAAAAUAUAAAAUAUAAGAUAAUUUAUAUUUAAAAAUAAAAAUUAUAAGUUUUUUAUUCAUAUUUUUAAUAAUUCGCGAAUAAUUCGGCUGGUUCAAAAAUUCGCGAAUAAUUCUCUUUCUUUGGGAAAAAUUUGUAAACGGACCGUUUAAUUCAGAUUUUCAAUAAUUCGCGAAUAAUUCACGAAUUAACUAACUAGGCGAAUUACAAAGAACUAAAGGCUAACAAAGCUUCUAAAAUUAGUAGCUACUAUU
rnacentral:lncRNA from 1 species